AAGACUUUAGCCUAAUGAAAGCGUCUGAGUUGCAUUCAGUUGAUAUAGGAUAAAAUCCUAUAGGCCUUA
rnacentral:tRNA from 1 species